UGGCACGCCUAAACAUGCAAGUCGAACGAAGUAGCAAUACUUAGUGGCAGACGGGUGAGUAACAUGUAGGUAUCUGCCCUUUGGCCUGGAAUAACACGAGGAAACUUGUGCUAAUACCGGAUAAGUCUUUACGGAGAAAGCUUUAUGCACCAUUGGAUGAGCCUGCACUUGAUUAGUUUGUUGGUGGGGUAAUGGCCUACCAAGACUGUGAUCAAUAGCUGAUUUGAGAGGAUGAUCAGCCACAUUGGGACUGAGACACGGCCCAAACUCCUACGGGAGGCAGCAGUGGGGAAUCUUGCACAAUGGAGGAAACUCUGAUGCAGCGAUGCCGCGUGAGUGAAGAAGGCCUUUGGGUUGUAAAGCUCUUUCGUCGGGGAAGAAAAUGACUGUACCCGAAUAAGAAGGUCCGGCUAACUUCGUGCCAGCAGCCGCGGUAAUACGAAGGGACCUAGCGUAGUUCGGAAUUACUGGGCUUAAAGAGUUCGUAGGUGGUUGAAAAAGUUGGUGGUGAAAUCCCAGAGCUUAACUCUGGAACUGCCAUCAAAACUUUUCA
rnacentral:rRNA from 1 species